UAGGACUUCAUCUACAUAAUGCUUACCCAUG
rnacentral:piRNA from 1 species